rnacentral:lncRNA from 1 species
UUAUUAAAGAAGUGAUUAUCAACAAGUUGAGCAAUAAUACAUCAUCAUUACAAUAUUGGCCACGGGUUUAUCACAAUUCUGCCAAAAGUAUACAAUAUUGCAAUAUCCCUAACCAUAGAAUAAAAUGACAAAAAAAAGAUAGAGUAAGAAACAAGUAAAGAACCAAAACCAAAACUUGUCAAAUUUACACCUUGUCAUCAUUCUGACUCAGUUCCAAUUCCACCUCAUUAAUCUGUGUUACCCUUCUUCUACAUAGAGAAAUCAUGAAAAUCCACAUAAGACCUUUCACAAUCCUCACCAUACCAAUUGUAACAGUUAAAUAAUACAACCACCAACCAACAAAUUCUUCUAUUCCCACCUCCAUCAUUUCAUCUUUCUUUGUUUCAGCCAUAACACCUAAAUUCUCAACUUCCUCUCUCAACUUCCACCACCACAAUGUUCCUAAACUACCUGCCACAACCACUUUCUCAAUCCAUAAUCUUUCUGUUUUUCCAACACCAAAUAUAGUGUCAUCAACCACUGGUCUCACAACAACUCUUGACCAAAUUUGUGUUGUUUCAUGUAGUCCCAAAAGAAAUAUCAUUCUACUUAUGAAGCUUCUUUCAACACCAAAACUACUAGAACCAUCAUCAAAAACAUCGUUGUCGGAGUCGAAAACUCCAGCUGCAAUGCUUGCUUCAAUUCCUAAACCAACACAUAUUUGAAAAGUGAAAAGAAGAAUCCAUUUCCAUGACAUGUAAAGACGAGUUUGGAGAAGAAUAGAAUUGGAUGAAUCAUUCAUAAGGUUGAUUUUUCCCAUCAAACCAUUGAUCAAAGUAGCUACACUUACAAUGGAGACAAGAACGUAGAGAAUACAUGGGGAGGUGUGUAUAGCAAAAGAGAAAAGAUAAGGUAAGGGUUGUUGUGAAUGAAUUUGAAGGUAGAAUUUUGCACCAGAGAGACUAGCUAAGAGAAGAAAAGAUAGAGGGAGGAGAAGGGUGAGGAUUGUGAUGGUGAGGAGGUGGAAAAUCCUUGUAGGGGUGUAGAUAGCAAUAUAGUUGAAGAAGAACUCUUUGGAUUUUUUCUGCCAAUCCAUUUUGUGUAGAAUGAAAACAAUUAGUGUUGAAUUGAAGAAACACGUUGUUCUUUAUUUACAAGCUAAGGGAAGUUCAAGAUUAAGUAAAGGUGUUUCUUUAUGUAUGUGACUUGACAACUAUUUUUUAUGAAAUGAAAUUUAAUAAGUGGUUACCACGUCCAUUGGUUACUUAGUUGACAUUUUAUAGGACAUGGUGUUGAUUCUUUAUAUCUCUAUAAUAAUAG